rfam:Triticum aestivum genome assembly, contig: Triticum_aestivum_CS42_TGACv1_scaffold_361248_4DS
UUUGUACUCCCUUCGCCGGAAAUACUUGUCAUCAAAAUGGAUAAAAAGGGAUGUAUCUAGAACUAAAAUACGUCUAGAUACAUUUUUUAAUUCAUUUUGAUGACAAGUAUUUUCGGAAGGAGAGAGUAAUAU